GAUAUGGCUCAGGAUGAACGCUAGCUACAGGCUUAACACAUGCAAGUCGAGGGGAAACGACAUCGAAAGCUUGCUUUUGAUGGGCGUCGACCGGCGCACGGGUGAGUAACGCGUAUCCAACCUGCCCAUCACUUGGGAAUAACCUUGCGAAAGUAAGACUAAUGCCCAAUGAUAUCCCACGAAGGCAUCCGAAUGGGAUUAAAGAUUUAUCGGUGAUGGACGGGGAUGCGUCUGAUUAG
rnacentral:rRNA from 1 species